GACGAACGCUGGCGGCGUGCCUAAUACAUGCAAGUAGAACGCUGAAGAGAGGAACUUACUCUUCUUGGAUGAGUUGCGAACGGGUGAGUAACGCGUAGGUAACCUGCCUUGUAGCGGGGGAUAACUAUUGGAAACGAUAGCUAAUACCGCAUAACAAUGGAUGACACAUGUCAUUUAUUUGAAAGGGGCAAUUGCUCCACUACAAGAUGGACCUGCGUUGUAUUAGCUAGUAGGUGAGGUAAUGGCUCACCUAGGCGACGAUACAUAGCCGACCUGAGAGGGUGAUCGGCCACACUGGGACUGAGACACGGCCCAGACUCCUACGGGAGGCAGCAGGAGGGAAUCUUCGGCAAUGGGGGCAACCCUGACCGAGCAACGCCGCGGGAGUGAAGAAGGUUGUCGGAUCGUAAAGCUCUGUUGUAAGUCAAGAACGGGUGUGAGAGUGGAAAGUUCACACUGUGACGGUAGCUUACCAGAAAGGGACGGCUAACUACGUG
rnacentral:rRNA from 1 species